rnacentral:rRNA from 1 species
UACGUAGGUGGCAAGCGUUGUCCGGAGUUACUGGGCGUAAAGGGCGCGUAGGCGGCGCGGUAAGUCACUUGUGAAAUCUCUGAGCUUAACUCAGAACGGCCAAGUGAUACUGCAGUGCUAGAGUGUGGAAGGGGCAAUCGGAAUUCUUGGUGUAGCGGUGAAAUGCGUAGAUAUCGAGAGGAACACCUGCGGCGAAGGCGGGUUGCUGGGCUGACACUGACGCUGAGGCGCGAAAGCUAGGGGAGCGAACGGG